UACGUAGGGUGCGAGCGUUGUCCGGAAUUAUUGGGCGUAAAGAGCUCGUAGGCGGCUUGUCGCGUCGGAUGUGAAAGCCCGGGGCUUAACUCCGGGUCUGCAUUCGAUACGGGCAGGCUAGAGUUCGGUAGGGGAGAUCGGAAUUCCUGGUGUAGCGGUGAAAUGCGCAGAUAUCAGGAGGAACACCAAUGGCGAAGGCAGCUCGCUGGAACGGUACUGACGCUGAGGCGCGAAAGCGUGGGGAGCGAACAGG
rnacentral:rRNA from 1 species